rnacentral:lncRNA from 1 species
AACUGUAUACAUAAAAUGUAAAUAAAUACUUAGAAAAGAAAUCCGAAUGUACCUUUAUAUUCAUUGGACUGAAGUAUCGAAAUUGCGUACCAAAACCUCGUAUAUAUUUUCCAAAUAAAAUCUAAAUAUUACCUCCCAAAUCCUUAUUCCACGGAUAGGGACCCGGAAUCAAAACCCGACGGACGAAACCUCACCAAAAUCUAAUAAUCAGCAAAAUUAUGACCUUCAACCGGAUAGUGCGCUUCAGGGCAGAAUGCAUCGGCUCCAAAUUGAGGUAAGUCGAUUUUGGAAAUAAUUAAGGAAAGAAGUAAUGCAAAAAGGAAAGAGAAAUGAAUUAAGAAAAUUUUCAAAAAAAAAAAAAAACGAGAAAGGAGUUGCCGGCGACGAGUUUCACGAGCAUUAGAAAGAGUUUUCUUUAUGGUUAAUGCUUUCUCUAUUUCUAUAUCUCUAAUCCACUCUUUUUCCCACCAUCUCUAUCUAUGUCUGUGCGUGUGGCUGUAAACAUGGUGAAUCAGGAGGUGAAUUAGAGAUAGAGAGAAUCAAGAUAGAGAGAGAAAGAGAGGAGAAAACCCUUCUCUGAUUUUUGAU